rnacentral:rRNA from 1 species
CACGAACGCUGGCGGCAGGCUUAACACAUGCAAGUCGAGCGCCCCGCAAGGGGAGCGGCAGACGGGUGAGUAACGCGUGGGAAUCUACCCAUCUCUACGGAAUAACGCAUGGAAACGUGUGCUAAUACCGUAUACGUCCUUCGGGAGAAAGAUUUAUCGGAGAUGGAUGAGCCCGCGUUGGAUUAGAUAGUUGGUGGGGUAAAGGCCUACCAAGGCGACGAGCCAUAGCUGGUCUGAGAGGAUGAUCAGCCACACUGGGACUGAGACACGGCCCAGACUCCUACGGGAGGCAGCAGUGGGGAAUAUUGGACAAUGGGCGCAAGCCUGAUCCAGCCAUGCCGCGUGAGUGAUGAAGGCCCUAGGGUUGUAAAGCUCUUUCACCGGUGAAGAUAAUGACGGUAACCGGAGAAGAAGCCCCGGCUAACUUCGUGCCAGCCGCCGCAGUAAGAC